rnacentral:rRNA from 1 species
GGCAGCACGGGGGCAACCCUGGUGGCGAGUGGCGAACGGGUGAGUAAUGCAUCGGAACGUGCCCAGUAGUGGGGGAUAACCAGUCGAAAGAUUGGCUAAUACCGCAUACGACCUACGGGUGAAAGCGGGGGACCGCAAGGCCUCGCGCUAUUGGAGCGGCCGAUGUCCGAUUAGCUAGUUGGUGAGGUAAAGGCUCACCAAGGCGACGAUCGGUAGCUGGUCUGAGAGGACGACCAGCCACACUGGGACUGAGACACGGCCCAGACUCCUACGGGAGGCAGCAGUGGGGAAUUUUGGACAAUGGGCGAAAGCCUGAUCCAGCCAUGCCGCGUGCGGGAAGAAGGCCUUCGGGUUGUAAACCGCUUUUGGCAGGAACGAAACGGCGCUCGCUAAUACCGGGCGCUAAUGACGGUACCUGCAGAAUAAGCACCGGCUAGCUACGUGCCAGCAGCCGCGGUAAUACGUAGGGUGCGAGCGUUAAUCGGAAUUACUGGGCGUAAAGCGUACGCAGGCGGCUCUGUAAGACAGGUGUGAAAUCCCCGGGCUCAACCUGGGAACUGCAUUUGUGACUGCAGGGCUAGAGUUUGUCAGAGGGGGGUGGAAUUCCACGUGUAGCAGUGAAAUGCGUAGAGAUGUGGAGGAACACCGAUGGCGAAGGCAGUCCCCUGGGGCAUGACUGACGCUCAGGUACGAAAGCGUGGGGAAUUGUGGAUC